GAAACCGAAAACUCGGCGGCCGAGGCUCCGUGCCCCGCGCGCAGCGCUGCUCCUGCCCCGGCCAAGGACGCACGGGCCAGCCGGCGGAACCAGAGGAGUGAAGCUUCAGAUCUUCGCAGUGAGUGUUACAGCUCAUAAAGGCAGCGUGGACCUAAAGAGUGACCAGCAGCAAGAUUUAUUGCGAAGAGCGAAUGAACAUAGCUUUCACAGUGUGGAAGGGGAGGUAAGUGGAGUGGGUUGCCGCUCCUGGCUUGGUUGGCCUACUUUUAUUCCCUUAUCUGGCCCCACCCACAUCCUGCUGAUUGGUCCAUUUUACUGUGAGCUCAUUGGUCCAUUUUAUAGAGAGUUGAUUGGUCCGUUUUACAGAGAGCUGAUUGGUGUGUUUACAUACCUUUAGCUAGACACAGAGUGCUGAUUGGUGCGUUUACAAACCUCUAGCUAGACACAGAGUGCUGAUUGGUACAUUUACAAACCUUUAGCUAGACACAGAGUGCCGAUUGGUGCAUUUACAAUCUUUUAGCUAGACACAAAAGUUGUCCAAGUCCCCACCAGAUUAACUAGACACAGAGCGCUGAUUAGUGCGUUUAUAAACCUUUAGCUAGACACAGAGUGCUGAUUGGUGCAUUUACAAACCUCUAGCUAGACACAGAGUGCUGAUUGGUGUGUUUACAAUCCUUUAGCUAGACACAAAAGUUCUCCAAGUCCCCACCUGACCCAGAAGCCCAGCUGGCUUCACCUCUCAAUGGCACUCUCCGCGGGACUUUGCAGCACCUAGCCCGGGCACUCUGGCAGCCCAGAGGGAGCUCAUCCCCCAAUCAAGCCCAGCAGGCACUGAGCCCCUGACCACCCGGAACCCGCACCGGCCUGUGAAUGCCACGCGCAGCCCCAGCUCCCGCCGGCACCUCUCCCUCCACACCUCCCCAAGAGCAGAGGGAGCUGGUUACAGACUCGGCCAGCCCCAGAGUGGGGCCCCCACAGCACAGCGACAGGCUGAAGAGCUCCUCAAGUGCGGCCAGAGCGGACGCGGAGGCCGAGGAGGUGCCAAGAGCCAGAUUUUUAUAGUAUCAGGACUUGUAUUUAAGUCUUCAAUCCACUUUGAGUUGAUUUUUGUAUAUGGUGUGAAAUAAGAGUCCAUUUUCAUCCUAUGGCAAGUAAAUAUCCAGUUUUCACAACACCGUUUACUGAAGAGACCAUCCUUUCCCCAAUGUGUGUUCUUGGCACCUUUGUUGAAAAUGAAUGGACUAAAUUCAUAACUUGGCCUCUGGGCUCUCUAUUCUGUCCCACUGGUCUCUGUGUCUGUUUUUAUGGCAGUACCAUACUGUUUUGACUACUAUAGCUUUGUAAUAAAAUUACAGAUGCCUUACCAUUCCAUGUCAUUUCCUUCUGCUCUGUCCACACCAUUUUGAAUAAUUUAUUCCUUAAACUCCUUUCAGAUUACCAAAGUAUUUCCUAAUAAUUGGUUGUAUGUGCAUUAAAUAUCUCUAGAAGGAAACACAAAAAAACAAGUAAUCAUUUUCUAUGAGCUAGGAAACUGGGUGGGGAAAAAAACUUUUCAUUGUAUACUUUUACAAUUCUUAUUUUUGAAUAAUGUGGAUGCAUUAGCUAUAUAUGUGCAUGCAUAAUAUAUAUACAAAUAUACAUAAAUGUGUAUGUAGAUAUAUAAAUAAAUAAAAUGCAGUAAUAUCUAAUAUAACUAUUUUUCUGUAUAUUUACUCUAACAUGAAAACUUUUUUUUAAUUUAACUUUUAUUUUACAUUCAGAGGUACAUGUGCAGGUUUGUUAUAUAAGUAAACUUGUGCCAUGGGGGUUUGUUGUACAGAUUAUUUCAUCACCCAGGUUUAAGCCUAGUACCUAUUGGUUAUUUUUCCUGAUCCUCUCCCUCCUCCCACCUUCCAUCCUCCCAUAGGCCCCAGUGUAUGUUGUUCCCCUCUAUGUGUCCAUGUGUUCUCAUCACUGAGCUCCCACCUGUAAGUGAGAACAUGCUGUCUUUUUUUUGGCAGGGGGGAGGGGC
rnacentral:lncRNA from 1 species